ACGUGCAUACUUGUACACGUGUUUGUCUACGUGCAUACUUGUACACGUGUUUGUCUAUGUGCAUACUUGUACAUGUGUUUGGGGUCGUCGUGGCGCAGGGGCUAGAGAAGGUGUGCUGGGAAGCACAAGGUUGGUGGUUCGAGUCCGGGCUGCCCCAUGUUCAAUGUCGAAGUGUCCCUGAGCAAGACACCUAACCCCUAAUUGCUCCCCAGGCAAAAUGUGAAAAAGCCAUGGGUUUACAGUAUAAUGUAAGUCGCUUUGGAUAAAAGCGUCUGCUAAAUGACCUGUAAUGUAAUGUGUAUGUGCAUACUUGUUCAUGUGUUUGUGUAUGUGCAUACUUGUACAUGUGUUUGUGUACGUGCAUACUUGUUCAUGUGUAUGUGCAUACUUGUUCAUGUGUAUGUGCAUACUUGUACAUGUGUUUGUGUACGUGCAUACUUCAUGUUUGUGUACGUGCAUACUUGUACACGUGUUUGUGUACGUGCAUACUCGUACAUGUGUUUGCGUACAUGUGUUUGUGUACAUGCAUACUUGUUCAUGUGUACGUGCAUACUUGUUCAUGUGUUUGUGUACGUGCAUAGUUGUACAUGUGUUUGUGUACGUGCAUACUUGUUCAUGUGUUUGUGUACGUGCAUAGUUGUACAUGUGUUUGUGUACGUGCAUACUUCAUAUGUUUGUGUACGUGCAUACUUGUUCAUGUGUUUGUGUAUGUGCAUACUUGUACAUGUGUUUGUGUACGUGCAUACUUCAUAUGUUUGUGUACGUGCAUACUUGUACACGUGUUUGUCUACGUGCAUACUUCAUGUGUUUGUGUACAUGCAUGUGUCAGAGCAAAAAUGUUGGUCUUGUUAGUUGAUGACAUCAUAAACAGAUAAGUCAUACAGUUGUGGGGAAGGAAGAGGGGGGUGGGGAGCAGUAGUAGGAGUGUGCGUCUGGGUGGGACAUUUGUUGUCCAAUAUAAACAAGAGAGUCAGCUAUAAAUGAGUCUCUCCCCCUGCUCGGCUUUAAUAUUUCUGAAAGUUCGUCCUCGUUAAUCAUUAGUAAAGAAUAAAUGGAAAACGGUCUGCGUUGUUUCCACACACAAGCCAGCGUGUGCACACAUCAUUGGUUUGAGUGCUUCACUGAGGUCUUGAUUUGUCAUCUGGCCUCUAUCAGUUUGUGGUCUGACAGCUUAAUCGGUGUCAUUCAUCCUCUAACAUCAAAGAUUCAACAUACAAUCCAAACAUAUUACGCUUGCACACUCACAUAAGUAAAUGUGCAAGCCGACUAAACCUUCUCUGGAUGAAUUUUUAAAGAGCAAAUAUUCACAGUGAGGAAAUGCUGUUCAUAAGCUGUCCUCACCAAUUACUGUGCUCCCAAUAAAAACACAUUAAAGCAACAAAACAACUGAUCCCAAAGAAAUACAGUCCUCUUGGUGUCGUUGGACUUGAACGGAAGGCCUUUGUUCUUGAUCUAUGACCUUGACCUUUAAAAUCAAAUAAUGUCAACUGGUAGGCACUGGCGAAAGAGUUUUAGGAAUUACUGUGUGAUUUGAAGUCCAUGAUUAACUGUCUAAACUGGAAUUUCUUGGAUCUACAGUGAGACAUUAGUACGGUGCACUUAUGGUUUUAAAAUUCAACAGAAUAAUUCCAUCUGACCCGAUCUGUGCUUUACUCAAGCACAUCCUAUUAACCAUGGCACUUCCUGGGUGCUCUUGUGGCCACUGGAUAACGUCAUGACACGUCCUACCAUGUACUACUCUGCAUAGCAACAAUUACACAUUUUCCAACACAUUUUGACAAUUGUUGUUCCUAAUGAACGCACACAAUCUUGUUGGCUAAAUACAGUAAAGUCAUGUAAGGAAGCGGCUUAAUCCUCCUCUUACGUGGAUGAAUACACGAGCUGACACGUAGAACAGGAGUACUGAGAGAAGACGUGUGGAGUGAUGCCAUGUGCUCCAAACACAACCAGCCUGGACAAACAGUGGGGAUCGUAAGGCGACGGACGUCUGACCCCAGCUCUCUAACCCCCGGACCCUAUUAAGCCCUGUAAACGAGACAAAGAGGAGCAAUUAGAACGGCAGCCACGCGGCAGGUAGGAGAUCUCUGUGACCUUUCCUGGCUGGUAGUCGACCUCCCCCAGAUGGGGGCCAGGAUAAAUAUCCUCCUGGACAUCAAGAGAAUGCAUUUGCCGUAUUUCUCCCUGUACUUGGAAUCAAACACGUGUUGUUCAUCCUCCUCGAUACUUUCAUGUUCUAAACAAGGACUUUAUUUGAUGUGGGCGGCUCUGCAUUCCUCGAUCACAGAAAAUUACCCCCAGCGACAAUUUAGUCAAUUAAGAAUGCAAUGUGUUUUUGCAGCCAAAUUAAAUUUACUUACACUUAGACCAGCUGCUCCUAAAAUGU
ensembl:lncRNA